AUAUUAAUGUUGGAAAUGUUUUGAGUAGUGAAAAUAGUUUGGGUGAUGAUGAUGAUGAAGGAAAUGAUUCAUUUAGAGGCCAAAAUGUUCAAUGGGCACAAGGUAAAGCAGGGGAAGACAGAGUACAUGUUGUGAUUUCUGAGGAACAUGGAUGGGUUUUUGUUGGGAUUUAUGAUGGAUUUAAUGGACCUGAUGCUACUGAUUUUCUGUUGAGUAAUCUUUAUUCAAAUGUGUAUAAAGAACUUAAAGGCCCAUCGCCCAAAAGAAAAAACAAAAAAUCAAACAAAAACGUUAUAGAGCUGAAUGUCAACGCCCCACCCAAAAUAAAUAAAAAAAAGUAUAUAUAUAUAUAAUUAAUUAGUGAACUGCCCACCCAAAACACAGUAUCAAUUUUUUUCUAUUUUUUAUUUUUAGCAAAAUUCAAUUAAUAUAAUAUUCCACUUUUUUUUUUGGAUUAUCAAAAGUCAAUUCUUUCUCUUUCCUCUUACAUCUUUUUCUUCUCCAUUUAAAUCCUCAUGCCAUAGCACUUCCUCUGAACUUUAAAAAAAAAAACAAAAAAAAAAUCACAUUUCUUCCUAAAAAUUCAAUCUUUAUGAAUCUUUUAUGAUCAAAAUCUUAUCUUUUUUGUUGAUUUGUUGAUUUUAGUAGAAAUAAUUUCUGGGUUUUUCUCAAAAAAAUGGGUAAUGGAGUUAGAAAAUUGAAUCAUUGUUUCGCCGGAGAUGUUGGAGAAAUAUCAAAAAGACAUAAUGAUUUGAACCUUACUGAUCCACUUGAUGAAGGUUUGGGUCAUUCUUUUUGCUAUAUCCGACCCGACCCGUAUUCAAAACCCCACCUGUUUUCUGAUGAUUCAUCUUCUUCUUCAACCACCACCACUAUUUCCAGUGCCACCAGCACCACCACCACGGCGGCGUUCUGUACAAUCUCCGGCGCUUCCAUAUCGGCAAACACUUUCACACCUUUGUCAACGGCACACGUUGACUUUUCUGCUCAUGUAGAUAAAGCUUCAGCUUUUGAGAGCUCUCAGUUUUUUUCAUCUAUCCCUCUGCAGCCAAUUCCGAGAGGUGUUUUUCAUUCCGGCCCGAUCCCGGCCCGUGUAUCAAACACGGGCUUAGGUUCCGGCCCGGUAGAGAGGGGAUUCAUGUCGGGCCCGAUUGAAAGGAGCUUUAUUUCGGGCCCGAUGGAGAAUCAGUAUGAUCAUAUACAAAGGUAUAAACUGAAAUCCAAGAAAUGGGGUUUGAUUAGAAGUUUAAAGAAAGUGUUUUCAAGUUCUUUUUUUGGUUAUAAAGAAGUGAAAUUUACUGAAAAGAAUAAUAUUAAUGUUAGUGAAGUUAAAUUUAUAGAGAGUAAUAUUAAUGUUGGAAAUGUUUUGAGUAGUGAAAAUAGUUUGGGUGAUGAUGAUGAUGAAGGAAAUGAUUCAUUUAGAGGCCAAAAUGUUCAAUGGGCACAAGGUAAAGCAGGGGAAGACAGAGUACAUGUUGUGAUUUCUGAGGAACAUGGAUGGGUUUUUGUUGGGAUUUAUGAUGGAUUUAAUGGACCUGAUGCUACUGAUUUUCUGUUGAGUAAUCUUUAUUCAAAUGUGUAUAAAGAACUUAAAGGGUUGUUAUGGAAUGAUAAGUCAGAAACUCCCAAGAAUUCGAUGAGCAACGAGGUUGUUUCAUUGAGGAAUUCGGGUGUUAGUAAAGUGGAACAUUUUGUUCCAAAUCAAGAAUUUGAUGGGGUUUCCGGUGUUGAUCAUUCUGAUGUCUUGAAGGCUUUAU
rnacentral:lncRNA from 1 species